rnacentral:misc_RNA from 1 species
UGCCUGACUUUUUAACUCUCUUUGUCUGGAUGUCCAUUCUUCUUCUUGAGCAAGUUUAUAAGCCUCAGUUUUCUUGAGCAUUUCUCUAUCACCAAUAAUAUAGUUUUGGACGUCAGCUGGAUCAUCUCUAUUUGAAAUAAAUAGAAGAGGAUUAUCUUCCACCUGUAGUUGAGUAUUUGCCAAAAGUUUGAAAGUGGUCUCUUUUUCUACUUGAGUGCUGCGAACAGGAGAUCUUUUACACAUCUCACUCCAGAUGGUCUCUUCCAAAUCUGCAUGCUGAUUCUUUCCAUUUGACUUAUUAGAA